UACGUAGGGUGCAAGCGUUGUCCGGAAUUAUUGGGCGUAAAGAGCUCGUAGGCGGUCUGUCACGUCGGCUGUGAAAACUCGGGGCUCAACCCCGAGCCUGCAGUCGAUACGGGCAGACUAGAGUCCGGCAGGGGAGACUGGAAUUCCUGGUGUAGCGGUGAAAUGCGCAGAUAUCAGGAGGAACACCGAUGGCGAAGGCAGGUCUCUGGGCAUUAACUGACGCUGAGGAGCGAAAGCAUGGGGAGCGAACAGG
rnacentral:rRNA from 1 species